rnacentral:rRNA from 1 species
GGCGAACGCUGGCGGCGUGCCUAAUACAUGCAAGUUGAGCGCUGAAGGUUGGUACUUGUACCCACUGGAUGAGCAGCGAACGGGUGAGUAACGCGUGGGGAAUCUGCCUUUGAGCGGGGGACAACAUUUGGAAACGAAUGCUAAUACCGCAUAAAAACUUUAAACACAAGUUUUAAGUUUGAAAGAUGCAAUUGCAUCACUCAAAGAUGAUCCCGCGUUGUAUUAGCUAGUUGGUGAGGUAAAGGCUCACCAAGGCGAUGAUACAUAGCCGACCUGAGAGGGUGAUCGGCCACAUUGGGACUGAGACACGGCCCAAACUCCUACGGGAGGCAGCAGUAGGGAAUCUUCGGCAAUGGACGAAGGUCUGACCGAGCAACGCCGCGUGAGUGAAGAAGGUUUUCGGAUCGUAAAACUCUGUUGGUAGAGAAGAACGUUGGUGAGAGUGGAAAGCUCAUCAAGUGACGGUAACUACCCAGAAAGGGACGGCUAACUACGUG